UGGUAGAAAGUCACCUGGGAUUUGCCAU
rnacentral:piRNA from 1 species